rnacentral:rRNA from 1 species
CUACGGGCCGCUGCAGUGAGGAAUAUUGCACAAUGGGGGGAACCCUGAUGCAGCAACGCCGCGUGGAGGAUGACGCAUUUCGGUGUGUAAACUCCUUUUAUAUGUCAAGAAAAUGACGGUAGCAUAUGAAUAAGCACCGGCUAACUCCGUGCCAGCAGCCGCGGUAAUACGGAGGGUGCAAGCGUUACUCGGAAUCACUGGGCGUAAAGGACGCGUAGGCGGGUUGGAAAGUCAGGUGUGAAAUCCUACAGCUUAACUGUAGAACUGCACUUGAAACUUCUAAUCUAGAGUAUGGGAGGGGGAGAUGGAAUUAGUGGUGUAGGGGUAAAAUCCGUAGAUAUCACUAGGAAUACCUAAAGCGAAGGCGAUCUCCUGGAACAUUACUGACGCUAAGGCGUGAAAGCGUGGGGAGCAAACAGGAUUAGAUACCCGCGUAGUC